GGACUACCAGGGUAUCUAAUCCUGUUUGCUCCCCACGCUUUCGUGCAUGAGUGUCAGUGUCAUCCCAGGGGGCUGCCUUCGCCAUCGGUGUUCCUCCACAUCUCUACGCAUUUCACUGCUACACGUGGAAUUCCACCCCCCUCUGACGCACUCUAGUCUGCCAGUCAGCAAUGCAGUUCCCAGGUUGAGCCCGGGGAUUUCACAUCGCUCUUAACAAACCACCUGCGCACGCUUUACGCCCAGUAAUUCCGAUUAACGCUUGGACCCUACGUAUUACCGCGGCGGCUGGCACU
rnacentral:misc_RNA from 1 species